rnacentral:sRNA from 1 species
ACUUUGGGCUCCAAGUUUCGUUUUUUCAGAAGAACUGCCCCAGCUGUGUCUGGGGUGAACAAGAUGUGCUUUCCUCCCUAGCAUGGGGAUUGCGUCCUGGACACGGAGCGGUAGCUCCAGGGCACUGCCCUAGAGUGAGACUCCUACCUCUGUGGGCAGAGAUGCCAGACCGCCCUCAGCCACGACGUGCGAUGCAAAGCUUUCUAGGCUCCUGUGUGGCUCUGCUGCACAAACGGCUGUGGCGCAUAGCAUCGUACCCCCCACUCCCUACUCCUUGAAAGAGAUGCAGCUUGGUCAUUGCCCAGUGCUGUCUGCAAGGGAGAUGGCUCCCUGGGGAGGUGGCCCAGGGUCAGGGUCUCCCUGGGAGGGUUGGGGUACCAGCUGGCUGCAGGGAGUAGGGGUGCUAUGCGCCGUGCCACCCUUUGAGAGGACUGAGGAGUGUCUGGGGGACAGAGCUGCCACGAGGGCCGCUGCCCGCUCAUGCUGACCGAAUGUCCCGCGUGCAAAGGCCUGGUCCGCCUUGGUGAAAAGGAGCGCCACCUGGAGCACGAGUGCCCGGAGAGAAGCCUGAGCUGCCGGCAUUGCCGGGCGCCCUGCUGCGGAGCAGACGUGAAGGCGCACCACGAGGUCUGCCCCAAGUUUCCCUUAACUUGUGACGGCUGCGGCAAGAAGAAGAUCCCCCGGGAGAAGUUUCAGGACCACGUCAAGACUUGUGGCAAGUGUCGAGUCCCUUGCAGAUUCCACGCCAUCGGCUGCCUCGAGACGGUAGAGGGUGAGAAACAGCAGGAGCACGAGGCGCAGUGGCUGCGGGAGCACCUGGCCAUGCUACUGAGCUCGGUGCUGGAGGCAAAG